rnacentral:rRNA from 1 species
UACGUAGGGGGCAAGCGUUGUCCGGAAUCAUUGGGCGUAAAGAGCGUGUAGGCGGCUUGAUAAGUCUGCUGUGAAAGUCCAGGGCUCAACCCUGGAAGGCCGGUGGAAACUGUCGGGCUAGAGUCCGGAAGAGGCGAGUGGAAUUCCCGGUGUAGCGGUGAAAUGCGCGAUAUCGGGAGGAACACCAAUGGCGAAGGCAGCUCGCUGGGACGGUACUGACGCUGAGACGCGAAAGCGUGGGGAGCAAACAGG